GCCGUCCUUCGUUGCGCAUUACCAUGAAUACUUUCAAUCAGGCGUAAACGUGUAAGGCAGGGGAAUACGACUGCAAAUUUCGACCUCUUGCACUGGUACAUUGCUAAUUUAGUGAUCAAUGACAGUGACGAUUCUUCUCAUGAUUCGCUCUGCUGAUUUGAUGCUUUAAUUAUCUAUAUGCUUCUGGAAAUUGUAUGCGUUGUUUGUCAACAGUUGACAUUUAGAUGGCAGAGGUAGUAUAGAUGCUUUCUAGGUUGAAGUUUAUUUUCCACCGAAUUAAUGCGGUUGAUUUUCUCCAAAAUGAAAAAUAAAAAUUAUCUGCGGACUUUAGAUACGCCUGCAGACGUCCCGAUCUGUCUGUGCAAGGUGUUUAUUGAGAUUUAUUGCCUGAGAAGGUAGUAAUAAUGAUAUUUCUAGAUGAUUCUUAAUUAGAAGUUUGACAAUUUGCUAUAAGUGAAACUUAUCAAAUCUUGUGGGAGUGUUAGUGCAAUAGUAAGGACAUUGUAUGUAUUUUGGAAUCACGAAGCAUGCAAAAUUUCGAAAAGAUAAGUUAUAGUAGCAUUUUAUUGAUUAGGACAGAAGAUGAACUCCAGAGAAGUGUUUUCAGUGUUAAAAUUAGUUAUAUUUCUAUUUUCUUGUCUAUGUGGAUAAGUUGAUUAAGGAGAAACAAUAAGUUACAAAAAAAAAGUGUUUCUGGAAAGGGGAAGCUCACAAGUCAUUUGCAAUUGCAACCUAGUUUGGAGCAGUGGUAGCUCGACCAAAAUAAAGAAAAUACUCUAGAUACAAAAUGAACCUUUCCACUUAGAUAGGUGUGAGGAAAAAAGGCUUUUGAUCAAAUACAUCUAUCCUCAUUGAGAGGAGCUGGAAACCCGAAGAUGGAAGAAUUCAUUUGAAGUCAUUAUAAUGCACUUACUUAACAAAGAGCGGUGUAGGUUUCAGAGAAUGGAAAAAAAGAAAAGAAAAAGAAGAUCAAAUAGACAUGGAAUAACCUGUGGAGGCUUUCCUCCCAUCGUUAUUCUCCAAAAUUGCCUCUAUGUUGACUGAUUGAGACUUGACUUGGGAUAGCAGAAAACCAUAUUUAUCCCAAAUCCUUUUACCUCAUUUGUGUUUUGAACUUGAGCUGGUAUAAGAAGUGAACAUAAAGACAUGCCUUUUGAUGAAAAAAACCUGAGGUGGAUCUGGAUUCUUAAUCUGAUAAAGACAGACCUGCUUGUCAAUCUGCAAAUUCAUUGAGAGAUGGUGCAAUAAGCAAAAGGGUUGGUGUAGUUUUGCAAAUGUAUUAAACUAGAGAUAUCAGUAGCUACUAUUACUAUUACUAUACAACACGUUUUAUAAACUAACUCUGUAUAAGUUAUUGUUGCAGAUAUGGUUUGAUUCGAUCAUUGAUUAUUAGGGAUUUUUUAUCCAUUAUAAUAUGCUAUACAGAUAAGCAAACCUUACAGUAACGAUAAUGGGAAGAAGGAUCCAUCAAGUCUUCAACAUGCCAACCGGGGAGAGUCUCCAUUAAGUACUCCGAUAUGCUACUGGUCGAGUCUGAAGCUUGCUCACCGGUGGGCAGGCUCGACUCAUUCUCCCUCGUAGGGUUUGAUGAUGUCUCUGAACAAUUUGCAUUAUUUGAGUUUGCAUUAGCGACUGAAGUUCUGAACUCUAUUCCAGAUUGUGAACCACUGGAUGACGUAGCACCUUGAUACGAAGAAAUGGCUGCAGAAAGCUUGACCCCAGUUAGAAGAAACCUAUUAUGUUUCUUGGUGAGUUCGUUGGCCUUGUGUAUUGGUACAUCACAUUCUCGACAAAGUAAAGCCCUGUCUUCUUGACAAAACAGUAACGCUUGUCUUUCCUGUACAAGUAUAUAUGAUUCCGUUACUCAAAUUAUCAGUUUGUUGUAAAAGAUUGUGCUCUUUUUGAAAAUCUCAACAUUGAAGUGGUGAUUCGAAACGAGUUAAUGACAAUGUAUGUUUAUAAACCUGGCAAAUGUCGCAGCGUGGAGAUUCUUUCAACUGAGGAUUAAGAAGAGAGAAACGAGGAUGCUUGCUCGCGAGCUUAUUGGCGUUAUGAACUCGGUCGUCGCAAUUCUGGCAGAGGGCGGCUUCAUCGGCUGUGCAGAAUACGGCUGCUGCUUCUUUCCCACAAACGUCGCAUUGAAUCUUCAUUUGUAAGUUGAGUUUUGUGUACUUGAAGUUGAAGUCGUUAAAUGUUCAUGCUUACGCGUCCUUUCUGUGUGUUUUUUGGGGGGUGUACGUGUGUAUGAGAACAUAUUUAGGUAAAUAUACUGCUUAUAGAAAAAUAUUAUAAAGAGAUGAACUUUUAUGAACUUUGGUAGAAUUGAAUGAGGAAAGAGACGAACUUUUAUGGGCAUAUGGGUAGGUUGGAAGGCACAGCUAAGCUACCAGGAAUUCAUUUUCCUUCUGACUUCUAUGGAAAGCUCUGGAAAAAAGAUCAUUCAAAUAUCCAAUAUUCUUUGUCUAUCUAGCUUCUGUCUUGUCUGUCUAUGACCCCUCCCCCCCACCCCACCCUACCCCCCAAACAGGGCUGGGGGUUGUUGGCUACAGAUGCAAGAAAUCUAGUUGGCCUUAUGUAGAGAUAGAGCUGCUAUAUUUCAACCAGUUGGAUCUUUUUUUGGUUGAAUAAACAAAUAAUUUAAAGACAGUUAGCUUUGGCCUCAUGCAUUAACCACUUUUCCUAGGCCAACACACGCACACACGACCGUUGGGAUCCUUUAUUGCAAAUGGUGUCAUCUAUUAAUGUAGGAUAUUAAUAUACACCACUAAAAUAUCUUAUUCAUGUGGCAAUCGCGUAGCGGUAGAGAUGGAACACUUUCUUAUAAGAAUCUCAUUAGAUAUUUCAUUCCCAAACCUCUCGCUCGCCGAGCCUCGUUGCCUGGAGAUGGGGGAAAAAAAAUGGGGGGGACCUAGCUGUAUGGGAUAGAAGGGUUUUAUCUGUUCAUUCAUUGAUCACAGCAGUUUCAUUUCCGUGUAUAUGAACACCAUUUCAAAGGGAAUAAUUUAUACCUACAGGCUACAGCAUGGCUCUUAAAGAGGGGGAAAGAAUUCUACUGUGCUGUUGGUCCAGUGCACUUUAAAGUCUUGUCUGGCUAUGAUUCAUAUGCAUAGGUCCAAAUACACUGAAAAAAAGUGUCAUGGGCAACCAAAACAGGUUGCUUUCACCAUUAUUUUCCCCUUCAGAUAUGCUUUAAAGUUUUCCGGC
rnacentral:lncRNA from 1 species